rnacentral:rRNA from 1 species
GACGAACCGUACGAACGUUAUUCGGAAUCACUGGGCUUAAAGGGUGCGUAGGCGGCGCAGUAAGUUGGGUGUGAAAUCCCUCGGCUUAACCGAGGAAUUGCGCCCAAAACUACUGUGCUCGAGGGAGGUAGAGGUGAGCGGAACUUAGGGUGGGGCGGUGAAAUGCGUUGAUAUCCUAAGGAACACCGGUGGCGAAAGCGGCUCACUGGACCUCUUCUGACGCUGAGGCACGAAAGCUAGGGUAGCAAACGGG